rnacentral:misc_RNA from 1 species
GGAGCCUUUGUUUGUUUUCUUAUCUGCCAACAUUUAACCUCAUCAGGGCCGGCAGUGAAAAAGUAUAUGAGGUUGAUUGCAGCAAAACCAGUUUUUAUGAUUUUUGUCAGGGCACUUUGCAACUUGUUCUCCUCACAGUAUUUAGCAGCUUCAUCCUCAGGCAUAUCUGCUAGAUUCUUUUCUAAAACACAACUGAAAGGAAUAAUAGGCUCACCACCAUGCUCCUGCACCCAAGCAUGUAUCUUUGGCAGAAACUUGUUCUUCUUCCUCUGAUAGUCUUUCUCAUUCAUGUUUACCAGAUAGACAACAGGUUUAGCAGUCAGCAACUGGAAAGUAUUCAAAAUCUCAACUUCAGCAGCUUUCCAUUCUCCACGACGAACAUCUUUUCCAUCCUGCAGCCAUGCUUUAACCUUCUCACAACAUUCAUGUUCAAUUUUUAAUUGUUUAUCAUUGCUCCUUUUCAUGCUCUUCUCG